AACGAACGCUGGCGGCAUGCCUAACACAUGCAAGUCGAACGAGACCUUCGGGUCUAGUGGCGCACGGGUGCGUAACGCGUGGGAACCUGCCCUUAGGUUCGGAAUAACUCCCCGAAAGGGGUGCUAAUACCGGAUAAUGUCUUCGGACCAAAGAUUUAUCGCCUUUGGAUGGGCCCGCGUUGGAUUAGCUAGUUGGUAGGGUAAAAGCCUACCAAGGCGACGAUCCAUAGCUGGUCUGAGAGGAUGAUCAGCCACACUGGGACUGAGACACGGCCCAGACUCCUACGGGAGGCAGCAGUGGGGGAUGUUGGACCAUGGGCGGAGGCCUGAUCCAGCAAUGCCGCGUGAGUGAUGAAGGCCUUAGGGUUGUAAAGCUCUUUUACCCGGGAUGAUAAUGACAGUACCGGGAGAGUAAGCUCCGGCUAACUCCGUG
rnacentral:rRNA from 1 species